rnacentral:misc_RNA from 1 species
GAUGAAGAACGUAGCGAAGUGCGAUAAGUAAUGUGAAUUGCAGAAUUCCGUGAAUCAUCGAAUUUUUGAACGCAAAUUGCACUCUCUGGUAUUCCGGAGAGUAUGCCUGUUUGAGGGUCAGUAAAAUAAAAAUCGAUGUUGUUGUCAAUGAUAACGCGUCGGAACUGAGUCGUCUUACCUUCGGUUUAAGUGACUUAAAAUUUUUACGCGAAUUCGAAACGUAUAUUUAAUGUUUAUGUACGUUUGCGAUAUUCCAAUAUUAUUAGGUGCGGUCAUUCCUAUGAUUCGCGUCUAUAAUUUUUCAUUUCUUGACCUCAAAUCAGGUAAGAGUACCCGCUGAACUUAAGCAUAUCAAUAAGCGGAGGA